GAUGUGGCAUCAAACAAACAAAAAAGACCUUUACCUGAAGAGGACAAGUCAGUUGUCGGCUUUGUUCAUAAUACUUCACCAGUGAAAAGAUCUAAAACAAAUAUGAACUACUUCGACUCACAAAUUCAAACAGGAUCUACACAAUUUCAACGAGUGGUUUGCUUUCACCAAAGACACCACGCCUUUUUCAAGGAGGCUGAAGAAAAAAAAAGCCCAAUCAAGCUCGCCAAAAUCCACACAACACCCAACUGGUAUGACAACACCAAGGAAGAUAUCAAAGUCAACAAGGACACCACCCUUGAAAACACCAAGAAAGCUCUUUCCUUUAAGUACAAGACACCGAAACUUCAGCAACCCGUAACAACAACUGUUACUGAUUUCGUUUACAAAGUUCCAUCAACAGAAAAGAAUAAGAUCAAUAUCACAGCCUUUGUUAACCAAGUAGUCGAAGAACAAAGUGAGGUUCAACUCAGCUACAAAACGGAGCCAA